GUGCAGCAGGCGAGAAUACUUUACAAUGUGCGAAAGCACGAUAAGGGAACUCUGAGUGCCUCCUAAGGAGGCUGUUCAGGUGUCUAAAAGCACCUGAAGGAAGGGCUGGGUAAGACCGGUGCCAGCCGCCGCGGUAACACCGGCAGCCCAAGUGGUAGCCACGUUUAUUGGGUCUAAAGCGUCCGUAGCCGGCUGGGUAAGUUCCUUGGGAAAUUUGGCUGCUUAACAGUCAAGCUUUCAGGGAAUACUGCUCGGCUUGGGACCGGGAGAGGUCAGAGGUACUCCAGGGGUAGGGGUGAAAUCCAUUAAUCCUUGGGGGACCACCGGUAGCGAAGGCGUCUGACCAGACCGGGUCCGACGGUGAGGGACGAAGGCUAGGGGCGCGAACCGGAUUAGAUACCCCCGUAGU
rnacentral:rRNA from 1 species